rnacentral:snRNA from 1 species
GUUCACUUUAGCAGCACAUUUAUUAAAACUGGAACAAUACAAAAAAGAUUUGCAUGGUCCCUGCACUAAGUUGGACAUACAAAGUUACAGUACUUUACU